UCUCUCCCCCUCCGCCGCCACCCCCUCGUCUUGUCACUCCUCCUAGACCGGCUCCUCUCUCGCUCCUCCUUGAUCCCCACCUAGAUUCGCUCCUCUCUCCCUCCUCUAUCCCCACCUAGAUUCGCUCCUCUCUCCCUUCUCCUCGAUGCUGAUUUUUUUAGAGCAAGCAGAUUGGAUCGAUGGUGACCGCAUGAGCAUGCCGCCGCCGCAUGGAAUUGCCUUGCCGCUGCGUGGAGUCGCUUUGUCGCUGCCGCCCGUUGCCACUUGCCAGCAAGGUGCACACACGCACCUAACAUCCAGGGAAGUCCACCAUCUGAACCACCACGACCAUCCCUCUUGGCUAGCACAAGCAGCGCCAUCGGCACUUCGGAAGUGAAGGCAAGCAGCCAAGAACUGUAGAAAAUCCUGAAUUUGUGUCUAUCUCAUGGACACCCAGGUUGAUAUACAGUUUUCUCAACACCCAGAUUUGUGGAGCCUGAUGUUGGACAAUUAGGAUGGGACUGCAGACCUUUAGAUUUUGGUGCUGAGAUUUGUGCGCCCCUCGCUACAUGUAAGCCACGUUUAUGAUGUUGAUCUUUCUGCUAUGGAUUGUAGUUUGGUUCCACUACUAGCGCCUUGAAGACUAAGGAUGGUGUUGUCCUGGCUGUGAGAAACGUAUCACCUCACCACUGCUGGUAUGAUUGCAUAGCGGGCUACUUGGUGCUGCCCAUCACAAUCUGCAUGACGUGAUAGAUAGCGUCCAUCAGGAGUGUCGACGGCAAGAACAUGAAUAACUACUUCAAUAGUUUAAAUGCAUAGUUUGUGUGAACUGGAUUCUACUAUUUCUUAAUUUUUUUCAGUGAUACUUUGUUAAGCUAUGUUGUAAAAUUACCAUUUUAUGGAGGUUUUUGUAAACUACUAUGUUGUAGAUACCUCUCGAUGGUUGAAUGAAACUUUGGAAAUACUUUUGUC